AGCUAUGCCAUCAUUUUGUUGGAGACUGCCACACGAAGAGACCUGGUCUUGAAAGAAGAGCCUCAUUCUGUGGGGCAUCCUUGUGUCUCCCUCUUGAGGAGCUGAUUACAGGGAAGACUGAGAAUCUCUGUCCUUGCCCUUCAGAGUAUGCAGAGUUGAUUAGGAGGUACAGGAAGAGGUACAGGAAAGACAACCCAUCCUAAAGACCCAAUUUGAACAAGUAAAGAAGCUUUUAUACAAGAUGAAUCCCAACAAAGUUGUCCGGUGAAUCUGAUGAUGUGUCUGUUGGAGAAGUACAGGAAACACCCAGAAGUACUUGUGGCAGAAAGGACCCAAUACCUAAUGCCUGAAAACCAAAAAACGGACCUCC